rnacentral:rRNA from 1 species
CAAUAGCGUAUACUAAUGUUGUUGCAGUUAAAAAGCUCGUAGUCGGAUUUCAGUUUGCUGAUGCUUAACUCUUUCGGGGGUUUGCGUUGGCUUACUUCAUGACAGAAACUUCCGUGCCAUUUAUUUGGUGUGUUUUGGGACUGUCUCAUUUACUUUGAAAAAAUUAGAGUGUUUAAAGCAGGCUCGCGCUAUGAAUACACUAGCAUGGAAUAAUAACUUAGGACUUUAGUCUUAUUUUGUUGGUUUCUAGGACUGAAGUAAUGAUUGAUAGGGAUAGUUGGGGGUGCUAGUAUUCAGCGGCCAGAGGUGAAAUUCUUGGAUUCGCUGAAGACUAACUUAUGCGAAAGCAUUCACCAAGGAUGUCUUCUUUAAUCAAGAACGAAAGUUGGGGGAUCGAAGACGAUUAGAUACC